AAGCAAGCAAGCCAGGAGGGAAGUUUAGGUGGCAGUUGGCUGCGCAUUAAAUUAUGGCCGGGCAAAUCUCGGAGUCUGAUCAGAUCAAGCAGUUCAAGGAAUUUCUUGGAACAUACAACAAACUGACAGAAAACUGCUUCCUAGAUUGUGUGAAAGAUUUCACUAGCCGAGAAGUCAAAUCAGAAGAGGUAGGUUGUUAUUUGGAAUUCUUUCUUUUGGAACUUCA